AUGGCGCUCCAUGGACUCGCUUUGCCUAAUUCUCAGGUCGUCCUGUCGGCAGCAUGCACGCGUCCGCCGGCAACAGCCGGACGACUUGCAAGGGCACGCUUCCUGUUUUCCUCGACGUCGGUGAACCGUAAGCUCAUCGUAAGCUUGUCCUCCAUCAAUAAUCCCUACACGGCAGCCGGCGGCAUGCAGGAAGUGGCAGCAGGGGAAGACGAGCACGAGCUAAAGCUCCUGGGGACAUGGAGGGGCCCGUUCGCGAUGCGAGUGAGGCUGGCGCUCAACUUCAAGGGCCUGAGCUACGAGUACCAGGAAGAGGACCUUGCCAACAAGAGCGACCUUCUUCUUGAGUCCAACCCGGUGAACAAGAAGGUGCCCGUGCUCAUCCACAACGGUGUGCCCAUCUGCGAGUCACUCGCCAUCUUGGAGUACAUCGAUGAGGUCUACCAUGGGAUAGGACCCUCCCUCCUCCCCGCCGACCCCUACCAACGUGCUAGGGCUCGAUUCUAG
rnacentral:rRNA from 1 species